rnacentral:rRNA from 1 species
GACGAACGCUGGCGGCGUGCUUAACACAUGCAAGUCGAACGGAAAGGCCCUGCUUUUGUGGGGUGCUCGAGUGGCGAACGGGUGAGUAACCCGUGAGUAACCUGCCCUUGACUUUGGGAUAACUUCAGGAAACUGGGGCUAAUACCGGAUAGGAGCUCCUGCUGCAUGGUGGGGGUUGGAAAGUUUCGGCGGUUGGGGAUGGACUCGCGGCUUAUCAGCUUGUUGGUGGGGUAGUGGCUUACCAAGGCUUUGACGGGUAGCCGGCCUGAGAGGGUGACCGGCCACAUUGGGACUGAGAUACGGCCCAGACUCCUACGGGAUGCAGCAGUGGGGAAUAUUGCACAAUGGGCGGAAGCCUGAUGCAGCAACGCCGCGUGCGGGAUGACGGCCUUCGGGUUGUAAACCGCUUUCGCCUGUGACGAAGCGUGAGUGACGGUAAUGGGUAAAGAAGCACCGGCUAACUACGUG